CGGGUGAGGAACGCGUGGACAACCUACCCCGGCGUGGGGGAUACCCGCCAGAAAUGGCGGCUAACACCGCGUACGGUCGUCUGACGGAGGGUUGGGCGAAGAAAGCAGUGAUGCGCGCUGGGAGGGGUCUGCGGCCGAUUAGCUCGUUGGCGGGGUAGUGGCCCACCAAGGCGAUGAUCGGUAGCUGGUCUGAGAGGAUGAUCAGCCACACGGGGACUGAGACACGGCCCCG
rnacentral:rRNA from 1 species